GGAAGUAAAGUCGUAACAAGGUUUCCGUAGGUGAACCUGCGGAAGGAUCAUUAUUGUAUAACCGAGGUGCGAGGGCUGUCGCUGACCCGAAAGGUCGUGCACGCCCAAGUGCCCUCACACACAUCCAUCUCACCCCUAUGUGCACCACCGCGUGGGUCCCCCUUUGGCUUGUUCGGAGGGGGGCUUACGUUUUCACACAAACUUUGUAUGCAGUGUAGAAUGUAUUUUUUGUUUUUGCGAUCACGCAAUCAAUACAACUUUCAACAACGGAUCUCUUGGCUCUC
rnacentral:misc_RNA from 1 species